UACGUAGGGGGCAAGCGUUGUCCGGAAUCAUUGGGCGUAAAGAGCGUGUAGGCGGCUCGGUAAGUCUGCUGUGAAAGUCCAGGGCUCAACCCUGGGAUGCCGGUGGAUACUGUCGGGCUGGAGUCCGGAAGAGGCGAGUGGAAUUCCUGGUGUAGCGGUGAAAUGCGCAGAUAUCAGGAGGAACACCAAUGGCGAAGGCAGCUCGCUGGGACGGUACUGACGCUGAGACGCGAAAGCGUGGGGAGCAAACAGG
rnacentral:rRNA from 1 species